GUGAUCAUCAAUUUAACUACUUAGCUGGAGAUAGGUACGACAUGUAUUCAGCUAAUGAAAGAAAAGGAAUGCCAACUUAAAAAGUAAAAUAAAGGUGAAUCAUUUGGUUCCACUAAAAAAUCAUUCUUAUACAGGUAGAAACACUGAUUAACAUUGUAUUAAUCUUGUAUUAACAUCACUUUGGCCUAAAAUUCACUUGAUACCUU
rnacentral:lncRNA from 1 species